ensembl:rRNA 5S_rRNA 5S ribosomal RNA
UAGGGCCAUACCACCGUGAAAGCACCCGACCUCGUCUGAUCUCGGAAGCUAAGCAGCGUCGGGCCUGGUUCAUACUUGGAUGCGAGACAGCGACUUGGCCAUCCAUCUGU